UACGUAGGGUGCGGGCGUAAUCGGAAUUACUGGGCGUAAAGCGUGCGUAGGCGGUUUGUUAAGACAGGUGUGAAAUCCCCGGGCUUAACCUGGGAACUGCGCUUGUUACUGGCAGACUGGAGUGUGGCAGAGGGGGGUGGAAUUCCAGGUGUAGCAGUGAAAUGCGUAGAUAUCUGGAGGAACACCGAUGGCGAAGGCAGCCCCCUGGGCUAACCACGUGACGCUGAUGCACGAAAGCGUAGGGGAGCGAA
rnacentral:rRNA from 1 species